CUGGACGUUGAACCUGCAGGAAAUCACGUUUAUGACAUGCGUUAUGCUUUUAAUCACCACUGUAGCACAUUUAGCCUGGGGUCCUGAAUUACUACACAGAAUAAUUACAUGAAUAAUACAAAUAUAUAAUAAUAUACAAAAUAAUAAUAAAUAAUACAAAAAUAAUUCAAGCACAACGCUGCUGAGUUCUGGAUCGUGAUUGGGUCAGAAGGUGUUGAUUAGUUCUCUGUAACAGCAGCUCUGACAAUAGUGUUAUCGUUUCUAUAGUAACAGCUCGUUUAUACACGCCACAUAAACAUUAAAAGGAAAGUCCAUUAACAUGGAAGGAGUCUCCAGUGUCGGUGCUUUGUAACAGUCUGGACAAAGGAGUUUAUAAUAAAAGUUUUAUAAUAAGUUCAAAUUUAGGAAUAAUAAACACUUCAGGACGUGCUGUUUAUAGUAAAACAGUCCACCUUGGGGUGGACACCUGGUCAUCGAUUAUUUAUUUAUUUUUAAAUAAUAGCACGUCAUGUCAUGUUUUCUACCUCACUUAAUACCAUGAGUUUAGAAUUUCAAGGAAACAUCACUAGACAUCACUACAGUUCUGAUCCUGGUCUCGAUUUAUAUCUUAACUCCAGAACGGCAGAUUUCUGGACCUGACACCAUACGUCUCGUACCAGUCGUCGCUCUCUUCGUCGUAGUACUUGUAGCCGCCAACCACGUACAAGCGGCCGUCCAUCACCUGGAAGAAGAAGAAGAGGAAGAAGAAGGCGGCGUCAUGGUGAAGAGAGCGAUUACAGACACUUCACUGACUCUCAGCGCUGGAAGUUCUUACCGCAAACACUCGGUUGUUCAGAGCGAUGACGCCCACGACACAGCUUUGGAUGGGCAUCGGUUCGAUUCGCGUCCACUGAUCGUAACGAGGUUCGAAACACUCGGCCGUGAAAAGGCACUCGUUUCCGUUGAGUCCUCCACAGAUGUAGAUCUAAAGGAACCGAAAACCAAGAAGUCGUGUUUGGAGCAGCUCUGAAAACUCGACUGGUCUAGAAGAUACUAAGGACUGACUUGUACCUUGUGUUGUACCCACUGAUACCUUCAUGUCCACCAUGAAGCUAACUGCAGGUCAUGAUUAUCUACAGCGCUGUGCGUUAACCGGCCUCCAGGUGAACACUGAUUGGUUGGCGGAGAAGAAGUCUGGAAAAGUAUAACUCGGUGGUAAAGAUCAGUGAAAGUGAGCGCAUUUCACUCUUACCUUGGCCAGUAAGGUCAUAGACCGGAACUUCUAGAAUUCCAGCAUUCUUAGAACCAGCUCACGCCAUAGUGAAGGAUCUCAGAAUCAACAGUAGCUUCUCUUAUUUAUUUAUUUAUUUAUUUAUUUAUUUAUUUAUUUAUUUAUUAUUGAGGGACAUUGUUUUAUAUUUAUUAUUAUUAUUACUGUACUUUUUAUUUAUCGGAGAGAAGCCUGUGAAAUAAACCCUCUGCUUUAUGUCACUAAGCUGUGGCCUCAAACAACAUGAUUUCAUGAUUAGUGUUUAAUUUAAGUUUCCCAACAUCAAACACAGCAUAUUAUAAUGACAUUGAUGUUAUAAUAAACCCGGAAGCACCACAUUCACCUGUCUGAAUGCAUUACACAACUUUACAGAUUUUAUUUUUAAAGAAAGAAAGAAAAAGAAUUCUCAUUGUUUUAACAUACAGGACGCCAUGUUUCCUCUCGCUGCAAUCAGACUUAACUCUUGAAAUGCAAAAGAACUAAACAAAAAUAAUAAAGAAAUGUUAUAUACAAUUAUAGAAAUGCAUUACUUAUAAUACCUUUCCAGCAUCACUCUUAUAUAAUAUGUCAUCUGAUUUAUGUGUACUGAAUAUAAAUAUAAACUCUGAGCAUCUAAAUAAAAUAAACAAUAAAAAACAAUCAAAUAAAAUGUCUCAAAACAGGUAAUAAAUAAAUAAAUCCAAUCAUUAUAUCGAGAAAUUAGAUAAUAAAAACUAUUCUACAGGAGGCGCAAACAUGAAGACAAGAAACUCACAUUUAAGUGUCACACAAAAGAUCGUAAA